ensembl:lncRNA
GAUUCCUAUUCUCCUUACCCUGGUGGAUUCCUUCAGAAGUAUGAGUGUUGCUGCUCCUGUGCUCGUUGCAGCCAAACUGUGCACUUUCCUAUCUGUUUCUUAGUUCCGUAGGCACAUAAAUUCUUGGUCAUUCUGGCAAUUUGUCUCUUUUUCAAGAAUACGGUUUUCCCUUUGCUGGUAAUUCUUGUUAUGAACUCGUAGUUCUUGUUCAGCAUUACUCCUGCUGUCUGCGUGGAUGGCUGCAAGGUUCAGCUCUGAAUGUGGCUUUUAAGGGGAUAUGGAAUCACUCUGCUGUCAUCCAGAAAGCUUUAUCCAACCACUAGAUUUCUUUUAGUUCUUCAUACUUCUUUUUCUUUUUUUUGUAGGGGCACGUUGUUUAUCAUUUUCUCCACAGAUCUGUCCUGAUACUGUAAUUAUAAAGUUGUUUAGCUAUCUGUUUUCAUAAAUGUAUCUGUAUAAAACGUUGGAUGUUGUGAUUGUCUUGCCAUAAUGUUACUAGAUGUAUUUCCCAAGCUACUAAGUUUGUUUGGAGAUGAAAAUUAGAUGCAAAAUAGAAAUAUAAGCACCUCCAUUCUGUAAUCUUGCCAUAAUUUUCUCUCUCAUCAAUGUAGUAUCAGUAAUUAAUGCUCCUAGAAACGUACACUUUCUUUGUUGCUAUGGGUUUAUCCAAGAUCUCAGCUAAUCACAGAAUUAUUGUUGCUGUUAUCCUAGUUUUCUUUCAAGUCCCCAGCUGCCUGGUGUGUGAUACUCUGUCUUUUCUGCAACUGGCAAGUCAAUAGCAAAGCUAAUCUGUUUUGAUUCAUAUCAUGAGGAUGCCACAGGAGUUGGAACAACUUCAGUUGUGCAAUUGCUGCGCAUUUAUGGCUCCUACUCUGGAAAAGGAAAAUAGCUGAAUGGAGAGGAGAUGAGAGAGGCUCUGUGCAAUGAGGCAAGGGACUGUCCAGAGUGAGAAUCAAGUGGAGAUAGCCAAGACACAUUUGCCACUGGAACUUUAUUCCCUGUGUGCUGGAACUGUUUCCUCCUGUGUCACAGUGGUGUUUGGACAUCUCCUCUAGGCCAUAUUGAAAGACCUGAGCUGAUUGGAACUGCUGAAUCUGUAGGGAGGAUUUCAGCACAGCUCUGAGUACUGGGACAUCGGAGCUGUGCAAGGAGUGGGGAGGGAAAUUCAAGCCCUCCCCCCUUCCCUUUGAGUCUGUAAUCACAAACUGGGUGAAAGGCUUAAGGAUUUUGGCCUAGCCUGUUGUCUAGGAAGGCUGGAAAGAUCAGCUGCUAACAUUUCACCACCAACUGUGAAAAGGCAAGGAAGUGGCUGCCGGGGCUGGAGCCUGUGGGAAUCCCUGCUCUCGAGCAUCAGCUACUCUCUCCCACCUACAACAAAAUAACAGAAACUCAUCUCAGAGUGUGGAUUCCAACCAGAUUUGUGUUGUGUCUUCAACUUGGGCGUUCAUGCACUCGUGAAUGUCAUGUGGGAAAAGUUACAUGCCUCAGUAACAUUGAGGCAGGCGCUCACCGCGAGGCUGGAAGUGUUCUUGGUGAUGGAGCUGAGACACAUGAAUCUACCGAGGGCAGGAGUGAAAGGCAAUUCGGUGCAGAUUUUGUAACAGAGAGUCUCCCUGCAGGAGGCAUGGAAGAUGGUUAAUGUGACAACAAUUGCUGAGAAGGUCCCCAGGAGUGAAAUGGAGAACUGCAGACCGUCACAUUGGAGUCUGUACAGAGCAACUCGCAGGCAGCACUCUUCCCCUGCAUGUGACGUGUGCAUUGCCCUCAAAUUCAGAGGAUGGCUCACAGCUGCUGUGACCGCAACCAGGACGUAUGUGGGGCUGAGAGCUGCCCACGGGAGCCAGGAGCAACGACCAGAAGCAGAGAAAACAAAAAGGGGUCCAAAUCUGAACUGCGCUGAUGCUUGCGUGUGCGUUGACCCGGAUUAGAGACCUGGACUCUGGCCUGCCAACUCCAUCAGCAUAGAAAUUUUGUUCAAAACAGCAUUAUAAGUUCGUGUGCUUUGCUUUCAGAUAGCGAGGCAAAGGCAUGCGGAUAUUUACAAUCUGCUUUAGGAAAACCUGAUAGAAGUUGUUAGCUGUUCUGUUGCAAAGGCAGUUUAUGUCACCCACAUCUGCUGCUGAAGGUACCCAGCCAGACGGCUGGCACGGCGCGAAAUGCCAGCGACCACACUGGCUGCAAUGAGGAGACGAAAAUGAAAGAAGGAUGAAGACCUCAUAAGCUUUAUCAAAAGCCACCAAAAAGUUGGGAGAUUUGGGGAUUACAUCGUGUAAUUAUAUUACCUUAAAGAAAAGUUUACUGAAGAUUUCCUGUUUUGUGUUGCCAGCUCUUUUCAGCCAUUAGUAACACAUAACUUCUCAUUGUCUUUUCCCGAGGCACAGAUGGGCUAAUUUUCAGCUACCUGAUAAUUACACAUUGUUUGAAACUGUAUCAAAAGCUUCUGUUCCUGUAUUUCUCCAGCAGCUGUGCUACAGCUCACCAAGUCCCUUGAUCACGGCUUGCAAGGGCCCACAUACAUCCAUCUGUCUGGAAUGGAGUGGCAAAGCCUCCAUGGUGGCAUUCACACUUUGCGGGUUGCUGGGAUUCUCUGUUCUCAAGGGGAGCAGUUUGCUGUUGUGCACCAUCUCUAGUCUCUUCAGGGAACUGCCAGUUCUGCAUUUCCUUACAGCAUAUUUCCAUCCAAGAGAGCUUCUCCACAGCUUCCCUGAUCUGUCAGACGCUCAUUAUUUUGUUAUUUCCAUUCUCCUGUGUGAUUGUGCUGGUGGGAAGAGACACUCAGGUAGCUUUUCCUUUUGGGAUGUGAAUUAAGGACUAGCCUGAUAGGGCUGCAGAACUGAAAGGGGGCCACUGGAAAACUCCCAAAUCCUUCUGGCGGUGGGACCCUCAGGUGGGACCAAGUGGGGACUGCAGCAGAGAGAGUGCUGCUUGGAGAACAGAUCCAGAAUUGGAUGGGCCUUCUAUGCAGGGCAGCACAUAGGAAGGGGUGAUCUGCAGCAGCCCACCCCCUACACUUUAACACCUCCUGGGAGCAUUCUCCAUGCACGUCAGGACCAAGAUGACAAACUCAGGUCUGCUAAUGCCUUGACUCUUCAGGUUAUAUUCAUACUGUCAGCUUAGGAGAAUGACAACGCUCCCCACCUGCAGAGCCCUGUGUCGAGGUGGGUUUGGCUGGAUUCUCCGCACAGCGGCACCACCCACUCAACUGACAUUUACUGUGCUGGCCUGAAUUCCUUCACUUUUCCCCCAUGGCCAUUUGGAGUCAAGUGCCACUGGAAACACGGCUCCCGCCGGGAGGAGUUUCAGAUGCAUUCAGAUCUGAGACAGUUUUGAAUGUAAUUUUGAGUUUUACAAAGGCUCUUCCGCUCGCCUGCUUGCCGCAAGUAAUGAAGCAGCAAGAUAAAAGGCAAGGCCACGGAAGGUUGUUAAAAAAUUACUUGCAAAUUAAUGUGAGGACAAGGUGUAUGAGUUAAUAUCAUAUAAAGACCCUUAAAAUCGGCGUACAUGCAUGCACCCUCCGAGCACUGACAUUCGCAGGCAGAACUACACUGGUAAACUGAGCCCAAGGGGCUUGAUUAACAGGAAAUUUUCAGAAUGCCAAUUAGAGCAAAGUUUACCGAACAAAUUGUUUGCACUUGUACCCUAGAACCAUCAUGAAUUUUAAUUCAGCAUGGAUUUACGUGGCUGAAACAAUAAUUAAAGAUACAUGAACGCUUCACGUUCGGGAGACUCCCCCAUGGCUCCACUGCAUUGGGUGGGAGCAGGGUGGCUGGGCAGGGGCUGCUGCUGCCAGGCUGGCAGACGUGGGAUGCACGUGGCUUUUCCCUACAGAUACAUAAGCAGUUUCCCUAGUCCUGAGCUCGCCGAUUUGUGCAGUGUUAGUCUCUUGUUUCCUUAUUCUUUUUUCCUUCUUUUUUUUUUUUUUUUUUUUCCCUUUAUGCAGUUUGAUAAAGAAUGAUCCACGGGGUGUUUUCUCAGUAAAUGCUGGCUUGUUGUUUCCUGCCUUUCACUUUUGGUGCUUGGGAGAUGUUAAAUUAGUUCCUCAGCUCCCCUGAAACCAAAGCCUUGUGCAGUAGUUUCGCUGGCCCUGGGCUGACCGAGGGCUCCUUUCUCUCCUCAUCCCCACUCCUCUUCUGGGGUCAGAGGUGGGGAGAAGCCUCACCGCUGCCAUAAUGCACCGAGCAGCUCAACUCAAGGCAAAGCUACCACACAGCAGCAACGAAAAGUCACGAUUGAGCAGCACAAUGUAUAUGUAUGCCUUCAUUUAAAUUCUUCUCUCCCUCUACUAGUGCUGAUAAAUAAGUUACACGUAUUUUUUAGAAGAAGUUAUUUUCUGUCACUGCACUUUUAAAUGUCAAGCUCCUGGAGAGGAGUCUUCAAGAUAGUUUAAGGUCAGUCAGGCUUCAAGGAAGAAAGAUGCAGGUGGAGAAGAAAAGCUGCUGUUGUGCUGUGGUCCAGCCCAAAGCAGGGCUCCACUCUGAGCGAUGGGCAAGCACAGGCACCUUGAGUGGAGAUGGUGCCCAGAGGCAUUGCCCUCCCUGCACCUCAGCACUCACCCUCGGCUAUGGAAUUACCGAAGACUUCUACACAAAGCCCACUGGCUGGAAAUGAUCUAGCCUGUUAGUUCAGGAGCGCUCAUGAAUAAUGUAUGCAUCCAAAGGUCGGUUUACAAAUGAUUAAUUAACCUUAUGAGAGGUUAUCCUCAUUGGCAACAUCAUUCACCCUAAACAGCUUAAUCAUGUCUGCGCAGAACAGCAUAUCUGAAACACAAACAAUUGUAUGAGAAGGAAUAUUGAGGAAUCAUAGAGCAAGGGCCAGACAUCUGCACUGCUCACUGGAGCAGCGACCGAACGCCAAGCACAGGGAGGACCUGAACCACAUCUCCAGGCUGUUCUGUAGGACUCGAGCAUCACUUGCUGGAACCUGGCGGCUGCAUGGUGGGGUGUAGCUGGCAAGGUGCAGAAAUUGCACCUUCGCUAAGGGUCGAACCCAAGAAUGACAGAGGGAUGUCUGAAGCACAACUUUGAUAUGGCACAAAGCUCUAAACUGAGGACAGUCAUCCCUACAAACACCUCCCAGCCUCUGUGCCUCAACGCUAAGUCUAGGGGAAGACUCCUCUCAUGCUCGUGGGCUCAGCCCAGAAGUAAUGGGGAGCCCAUGCCACAGCUCUGCUAUCUGCUGGUGGAACACCAAGCCCUUCCCGCAUCUGUCUUCUGGCUGCCACAACCUCACUAAAUCAUUCCAUUUUAAUGCAUAUAUUUAUGCUUUUUUUUUUUUCUUUUAGAAGCAUGAAAGUGAUUUACAACAUUUUACACUACAUUUUUUAAUCCUUCACAAUUAAAACAAAUCUUCCCCCCCCCCCCCCCCCGCUUUGCCUAUUUUUAAAAACAUGUCUUUUGUUCAGCUCUUGCAGAAAAAUAUGGAUGGAAGCAACUCCUAAAAUCCCCAACCACAGGAAACAAAAUUGGUGUUUUUCCAAGUUAAGUACUAUAACAGAGUGAAACAUACAUGUUUAAUUUGAAAAUGUUGAUUCCAAAUGGAUUUUUCUUUUGAAAAAACUUCCCCCAAGCAAGUCAAUAUUUGUAAUCAAAUUGAAAUUUCCUGUGGGAAUUAUUUAUUUUCAUGAGGUCUAAUUUUUACAGGGGAAAAUUCUGCACAGGAAGGUUUAAGUUGCUGUAAACCAGCGUUAGGAAUCUGGGUGGUAGGAGGGGGGCUGGGAAAUCCCACUCUGUGCUGCAAAGUGUCACCACUUCCCUGUGAUGGAGGUGUUGUGAUGAAAAAGUUGGAACUCCUCUUUGAAGAGGGAAAAGCAUGAGCAGAAAGGUGAGAAAUUGGGAAGGAAGGAGCAUUCAGUUCGCUAGAUUUUUCCUCCCCCCUUUAUUUCUUGAGAACACAGCAGUGUGGGAUAGGACUCACCACGAGCAACGCUAGAGAUGGAAGUGAGAUACCCAAGAUGGCUGUUCUGAGCCUCCUGUGCUGGGGCGCCCUGUAGUUCACCUACCCUUAUUCUGCCAUCUGUUGGAAGAAGUGGGUCAUGCCAUUGACUUCAGUUGCCUUGAGGAGACACGGGGAUAAGAGCAACUGGUCCACGUCCACUGUAACCAUACAAAUCCCACCCACAGUGCUUGACGUGUUCAGGGGUACAGGGGGAGUGUGCAACCCUGUGCCUUGUGCAGCCGUUACUACACUGAUGGGACUCUCAGCCAGUUCUCCAAACCUCAUGAGAAGAGAGCAUGUUGGUCUUCCAGCAUCUACAAGGAAGCCCUUCAAAGACAGUUGUCAUGGCUUCAUCCUAAGGGCGAUUUUCUUGUAGAACCUGUGUCCACUGUAGAGCAACGACUGUGGCUAAUGAUGUGCAUAAUUUACAUUAUUAUACCUUUCAUUUUUGUAUUAUGAUAAAUCACCUACCUUCCCAUUUCUUUUUAUUGUGAUGUGCUGGGAACACAAUAUAGCAGGAGGAAAACAAUACAGCGCUGCCCCUGUCAGUCUCAAACACAGAAGCAGCACACCCAUGCUACAAACACUCACAGAUGCACAGCACCGUAUCAGAUUAUUAGCUCCAAGGCAACUGUCAGCAUGCAGUUUUAUUGGAAAUGAAAACAAGGUAAUUCAAGAUUUAUUUUCUCUCUAAGGAAGUGCCAGGAGGCAGGAGCCAGCCCCCGGCAUCUACCGUAAAACACCCGGCGCAUGGUAACGUGCUGCUCCUCAAGCAGAGCUCCUGGACUGGGGAUUUUUUGAGUGAUCUCUUCCAAAAGAGGAGAAUUCUCCUCCUUGUCCCCAGACUGUAUCCUGAAGGGAGUGAUGUAGAUUGAGUGACUUGAGUUUUGCUUUACCUAAAGGGAGAUAAAUGCACCCUACACUACUGUGGCUGCAGGCACAGCUCCUGGGAGACAUCGGGUGGCUCUUAAUCACAUAUCCUUGAAGCUUCAGAAACAUACCCUGAUUAUUUUCCGGCUCAAAGCAUUCAUUGCCUCCAGGAUAUUACCAUCUUUGCCCCCUUUCUAAUGGUUUAGGGUGAACUGAUUACCAAAUUAAAACCCUUAUUAGCAGCUAUCUUGGUAUGUCGUGCCCUGAUUUUAUUGCUGUGCCCAAAAGUGAUACGUGCCUGGGCACCAAGACAGGCACAUGCUGUGCCCAAGCUGAAAAUAUUUAGGAACUGGUAGGAAAAUCACAGGAAAUAUUUCUGAGUGAUUAAUUUAGAGUCGUUGAAGACCGUUCUAAAAGAUGCUCUAAAUGUGUUCAUACCAGCUGCACUGGUUAAAAAGGCAAUGGAAAAAUACACCUUGGUUAGAUGAAAGGUGAAAGAAGCAAUAAAAAAGCAUAAAACAACCUAUAUAAUAAAUGGGAUAAGAGCAAACCAACAGCAACAAUUAUUGGUCAGAAGGCAAGAGAUGCGAACAGUGCUUGACAAUAAGCUGUGUCAUGAAAAGAGCCUUAAUGGAGAUGGAGAGGCAGCCUCCACGUCCGGGUGUUUGGGUUCGCAGCGAUGCUGGCAGUCCUGCAAAGAGGGAGCCCAGCAGGGCUGCUCCGGUGUGUCGGUAAUUUCAAAUGGAGGCUUGCUGUCAUGUUUUGGACUGUGCUGAACUGUUAAUGAAACAUGCCUGCCUCCCCCUAGGUGUGUGUAUUUCUUUAAAAUCUGAAAAACAAAGCUUGGAAACCUAACUCUUCAGACUAAAAUGAGAAAAAAAAGAAAAAAAAAAAAAGCUUCUUUUCUUAGUGUGUCAUCAAUCUUUUUUAAAGGUCUUCCCAGCUCUAUCAUCACUCAGAGAUGCAGGAAGAAGAUCCUGCAGGGCACUGUGGAAAGAUCCGCAUCCAGCAGUACUGUUUGGACAGUCGUACUCGACCAUCAUUUCCCAAACGUGAGAUGUUCAGCUGCUGCUCAGGAUGUCCCCACCAAGGGGAGCAUCCCUCCUUGGACACUGAUCUCUGCAGUCCUGAUGCUGAAUUAUUCUGGGAAGGAGUAUCAGGGGAACAAAUUAGUGAGGUGUUCUUACCAGAAAAUCCCGUGGCUACAGCUACCUGCAAGCAACAGGGCCCAGAGACUUGUACUUCCCUAUUCUGAUGCCUAAGCUUGAGGUUUGCCAGCACCUCUUGGUGAGCAGGAAGCCUCCAGCUGUGUUAGCUCUUCUGGCAUGGCAAUUGCUCCAAAGGAGUUUCUCCAUCCUCCCUAUCUUUGCCUUAGUGGAAGGCUGAGAAGCCCUUGGCUGCCAGCCAUUCCAAUACAUCUUGCAGGUAAUCCAUAGUUUCCUGGGUCAGAGCAGCUUCUCAGCAGCAAUCCUCUACUCUUAAAGUCAGUCCCCUUUCCUAGGUGGGAUACUUCUGCAGCACAAUCCCGUGUUCUGCCCUGGGUGAAGUUAGCCAGGACUUUGCACUCUCAAGGUCUUCAUCCAAAGCAGAAGUAACACAGCAAAAUGGACGUCAUGCUCAACCAAGAAGUAGUUGACACUAUCAGGACUUGGAGGAAUUAAAAUAAAUGACCAAAGUAAUUUUUGGCAGAGGACUCGAUUUCAAAGGACAAUGCACUGUCCAUUCUUCCCAGGGGAUGUUCUGGGAUAGACCUGCAUGAGUAACCUACAGCCAUUUUGAGCCAUCCCCUACUGCCCUCAGCAAGAACUUUCUGACCAAAACUUCAGGUGGAACGUACCAGCUAAGUGUGCUCAAGAUAUAUCACCCAAAGGACUGACACCACCAGCAGGACCAAAAGGAUGAUGUGUUCAGCAUGCUCAGGUUGGGCUUCAUGCCCAAAGGCAGCUGGUUUGUCCUCAUGGGGCAAGUCCUGCAUUGCCCAGGAACCACACUGUGCAAAUCCAUCGUGGAGGCUAGAACACAUCCAUGCAUGGAUCCUGAAGACUAACCUUGUCCCCUUCUCCAGGUGCCUGGGAACCUUGGCCACACACACGUACAGACCAGCCAGGUGCUGCAGGAAGCAGCAGGAUGAUAGAUGGCACCUGCAAGCUGAGAGGUACACGCACAAAACCCAUUUUUUUCUCCGCAAGGUUCAAAUAUUUUUGCUCCAUCUGAGGCUUGGAUCCAGGUUCUCCUGCAUGGCAGUCAGAGAUGCUGGAAAAGGCUCAACAUUAGAGCUCAGGAAUGGGGGCUCAGGUUCUGUUCCCCAGCUUAGGGCAGUGCUGGUAAAGAUCUGCCCUCACCCAGGCGCCUGGGAAGCUUUUGGCUGCUGCUGGCAUUAGUGCAGAAAGCAAGAAGACAUUUACUUCCAGGAACAGAUGCAAACACGGGGAAUUGCCAAUUGGCCAAAAUCAAAUACAACCUGACCUCUGAUGAUCUGCAGCCUUACUACUUUCAAACAACACUGCACUCAAUAUUGGCAAUAUAAUAGUUUACCUUGGAGACCCAAGGGCUAAAGGAGAAAUGAAACCUGAAGCUGCUGGAGAUGUUGCUUUUCCACUGUUUCUAUUACCGAUAACAGGCCAGCAAAACCCCACGAGGUCCUUGAGCUCUAGGAGAGCCUGCCUGCACCUCCUCCCCAAGACUUCGUGCCAAAAUACCCCAAAACUUAAGAGCUGGGCUUUAUCAGAGCACCUGAUAAAUAUAGAAAGUAGAGAAUGAGCUGGAAUAGUGAUGUUCUACCCUGGGAGGAAGGUCCUUUCUUUUGGGUUUCCUUUCAGUCCUGCAACCUCCCAGCGAUCCCCUGGGUAAUCACAAAGCCUUGCUGCCCCCAGAAAAGCCCCUUUCUUUCCUUUGAAGGGGAGCUGACACCCACAGGGAACAAACCCUAAGUCAGAAAUAAUGGGAGUCCUUUGAAAAAAACCAAAAACAUCCGAGUCUGAAUAUAACCACAAGGAAAAAAAUGGAAACUUAUCUGCAAUAUGCACCCCCUCCCAAGCAAAUUAAUACCCUGGACCAGAGCCUUGUCCAGAAGCAGUGUAAAUAUCUCAGCAACUCAUUACCUUGUUAAUUGGAUCACUCCAAGCUUUUUGGAACCAGUCUAAAGCACAGUCAAAUCCAUUAAAAAAUGGAUUUCUUAUUUCUCUAUAGCUGUCUCUAGCUUUAGUGCUUUUUCUAUUAAACAUUGGCUAGAGUAGCUUCUCCCUUUACCUCAACUCUUUCCCAGCAAGGCACUUCCUACAUUUUUGAUGUGUGCCCUUCUUCCUGCCCCCGAGGUGCCGUGUGGGUGCUGGUAGGGUACGCUGGGAGCAAUAACCCUCCUCCUGCCAAACUGCCCCUCCUCAUCCUGUUCCCACAUCCUGGGAUCUCCCUCACUUGGAUGCUCCAACCCCAGCACAGAGGAGAAAUGCAUCCGGGGACACUCUGAGCUGCACUUUGCACUUAUUUCCUAAGAAACUAAAGAUGUGUGUGGGGGGGAACCAACACAUUGCUUCCAUCCCCUGUACAAACCUUUCACUUACCAAGGCAUCCACGUGCUUGCCUACUGAUUAAGAGCACUAGGGCCACUGUGUGAGAUUGGACACGACAGCAGCAUAAGGGGAGCCAUAUGCUCCGCCAGGAGAGGAGCAUACAGCCAUUAGGAGGGGGGCUGGUGCUCAGGGCCAUGGCUGAAGCUGCAGGGAUGUGGGUGCUGCUCCCCUCACAGUUCAGCCUUUCACAUCCCCAAGGACCAGCGAUGCCCUCACUGAGGGCAGUGCAAGGAGGUGGCAUCCAAGUACCAACCAUCUUUUGCACAGAGGGAGCCCCUCCAUUUGUUUUUCCAGGACCUAGCAGCCCAGCCUUCUCCUUGCCCUAUGAAAAAAACACUUGGCCUUCCUGCAGCAUCAGCAGCGCGGGGUGAUGGGACCCAGGGCUCCUGCUUCAGGCAUCCUCAAACUGCCACCAUGUCCCUAAGGCAGAGCACAGCCAGGGCCAGGCAAAAAGUCCUCCCACAACUGUGCUAAAACCUUUUAACAGCCAAGAACCAUUUUCUGCAUGGCGUGUCAAGCAGUAAAGCUGUUGAAUAGGCAGGGCCAGGGGUUGGUUUAGAGUGUAGCAGCAUGGAAUGCCUUUUUCCCAGCAGCUGUGGUGGUCAGGGAAGUCUUUAAGCCCCUUCACUGUUUUUCUGGCAGCACCUUCCCACAUCUGCGGGUCUGCACAGUGAACUGUAUCACUGGCACAGCUGGAGUUAAUUUCGACUUCUGAAAGAGGGAAGGAGGAUUAUGUUUAUAUAUAUGCAUAUAAAAAUGUGUAUUUUUAAACACAGGAAAUCCUGGUUCCUCCCUGGGGCUUGGCUGGAUGGGUCGCAGGGCCAAAGGAAAUGCUCUGCAGCAGCACCCUGCAUGCCAAGCACUUUACCAGGGCAGGUUUUUGCAGCUGUUGGGCUCCUUAUGUCCAUACCCAGCCUGCAAAGCACCCUGUGGCAUGGUGGGGAUAAACCUUGGUGAACAUGGCUGUCAUUGUGCUGCUGGAUGCGCGCCCUGAGGUCUCACCACAUCAUGCCAUGUGCUGGUGCUGCUGCUUGGCCAUCCAGCUGCUAUCCUGAGGGGAGCACAGAACCAUCCCCACCUCCUUCCACUCACCUCAACACCUCUCCGUUGUCCAGAUAAAGGAAACAGCAGAUGGUGUCCCACUGAGACCUGGUGUUACCCCUCUCUGUGCCCAGCAGGACAGCAGUGUCACAGCGGAGACACCGUGGUCUCCUCCAGCCUUCACCACAUUCCAGGCCCCUCAAAUCCAGCAGCAUGGAAAAACCUGCAAGAUGACAGAGAGCCCUCUUAUUCCUGCCGUAAUUAAUCCCUUUGGAAUUCAAUUAAUGAGCUCCCUGCUGCAGCUAUCAAGCCUCCAUCAGUUAGGCAAACAGGCGUGCAAGGCAGGCUGGGUCUGUAUGAGCACAAGACAAAUAUUUCAGCACGUCCAGAUAUAGCCCAUCCUUCUGCACUCUGUGCAGCUCAGCUUUAAGGUGUUACCCACUGGUGGGAACUUCAGGGCUCUGGUGGUGAUUGGAAGAACCUGUGCUCCCCUCUCACCCAUCCUGAUCGGAGAGCACCUGCCAUGGGAAUGGGCUGGGAUAUGCACUAGCAAUGGUGAACAACAGCCAACACUGCUGCCUUAUUUUUAUGGCUUUCUGACUUUUUCUACAAAUUUGGCUGGGCUGGAAGUGUGACCACUGAUGUGUUCUGAGCUGCUCUCCUAGGAUUUUGGAAGCGGGAGUGCUCGAUUCGGGCCACACAUUGCAGGACACCCAAUUUCAAACCCCAGCUCCUACAGUCUCAUCAGCUUCCCAGCCAGGCUGGCUGCUCAUCCAUCCCCGGUGCCCACCAGGGCCCAACAGCCCCAUAUGUGUGGGGAUGAACAAGCAGCAGCUGCAGCUCUAGUCUGGAGAGCUCAUCCCAGGGGUGCAGUUGAUGGAGCACCCCACUCCUGCUGCAGUGCUGGGAACUGCACGCUCCCACCACGAUGGAUAUUUCCCAUCAGCACACUCUAUUCAAAAUGAAACCCAUUAUGGCAAAGAAAAAAAAAAUCUUUAAUGAUUGUGCUGCAUCAACAUGAAUGAUGUCACAUGUCCAGACUGCCUCGGAAAGCACUGAGUUGCCAAAAGAUGGUGAAUGUCUUCAAUAUGGAGAGAGAGGGACCAGAGGAGAGGCUAAAACUGAAACUUUCCAGCUAUGCUGUUGAUACAUGUCCUUAUUUUCUUUUGUUGGAUAGCAUGCUCUGUUUUGUUUUGAAUACAGCGUUAUUGCAGCAGGGCUCUGUUAGCCCCUGGGGGUGGAUGCAUGGAAGUUGGCAGCACCUGCAUCCCUGCUCCCACCUCUCAUUUGCCCAGGAUAACCUGCAGCUUGGGCUCGGUGCAGACGUAGACCAAGAACCUGGUGGUUCUGUGUAACCUCAUCUCUCUCUCUCUCUAUAUAUAUGUGCCAUACGAACCCUAUUGCAAAAAAUGAUCAAUCCUUUUAAUUACUGAAUCUCAUGCAGUUCUUGAGAGCAGUGCCCUUGCACACUGAUGGCUUUGCCCUGGGGAAAGUUUGGGGUCUCUCCAGCUGUUCCCACCAUUGCUCGGUGUCACAAUCCAGGACACAGGUAACACGAGACCCUGCUGAAAUGCAGAUGGCAAUGCCAGAAGGCACCGAUGUGAGGCAUGGAUGCCAAGCAGCAAUUUGUUCUCUGUCAGGCACGGCCUCCCCAGCCUGGCCAAGCAAGAAGUGCUGCACUACAGGGGUGAAGGCAUUAUUUCUUACAAAUGCCCUUUUGGAACCCAAAUUUUCACAUUUGUACGCUCAUAUUUUGCAGUAGAGAUGGAGUGCAUCAUUUCCCUGCUUAAACAUCAUUUCAUUUGUAUUGCAUCUGGAUUCAUAAUGAAAUGAGUGUCGCAGCGACCCUGGUAAUUUUAUGGCUCUUUUACCAAUAUUCUGCUUGAGUCAUGGCGGUUUGACCGAGAGGAAAAUCCUGAAUGUCCAGAGCAACCCACAGCCUCACAAAUCACGAACCAAACCUUCCUCGUCACCUCCCACCCACUGCGACCCAACAAAUCAAAACGUCUCACGACUUUUUUAGAGAAUAACAAAGGCAAUAAACUUCUACAUCAAAGGCAAACCCCAGGCUCCCAAACUGCUUUUGGAAAUGCAUCUUUUUUCCAAGCUCAUAAGAAGUACCACACCACCUCUUUUUUUUUUCCCCCCUGUCAUUCCUGUAAAAUAUUUAGUGCUUUCUCUUCCCAAAUUUAUAAACAAGUUGGCUGAUUGUGCAGAUGAAAACUGGUUUAAAAAUUAAUUGAAAGCCUUUAAAAAUUAAUAAUUAUUUCAGCUAAUUAAGGGUGGCAGCUUAACAUCUUUUAAACUGUUAACAAUUUGGUAACUGCUGUGUGCAGUGCUGUUGGAAUAGAAAAUGGUGGGGACCGUGAGCUGAAAAAAUGUAGUCUUCAGUGUUUCAGACCCCGAGCAGGUUUUGGGCCCUUCUGCAUCGUCUGCGUUAUUAUUGGCAGCACUACCACAUCUAUCAAAAAAUGGAUCUCUACCAUCAUCGUUUUGCUAGAAUUUCUCAUGUUCCAGAUAAUUUAAAAUGCUUUCUUGUUGUCCAUAACGCAUUUGGAUACGGGUUUUUUAAAUGGAUACUUUCACUUCUCUCAUCAAUUGUUCUUUAUUUCAUAGCAUCUGAUUUUUAAUCACAACCAUUACCUUCCUCCUUUCCCUGAUUUGUUACUUAUUAUCUGCAGCUUGGCUCGCUCCUCUCGCUUCCAUUUUUUGCCAGGAUUUGUUGUGAUCUUUCCUUUGUGAUCAUCAUAAAUACGCUUGUCAGGAAGGAACUGAAACAAAGAGCAUUUAUAGCUCUGAGAAUUUGAGAGUUUUCUGUUUUCCAAUAAAUCAGUUGGCAGAGCUGUAAAAACGUGCAGCAUGUGUGAGAACUGACUGUUGGGUUUGGCUGUAAGGGCUUCCAACUCUUUAUUGCAGCUGAAUUGGGCAGUUGAUACCCAUGGCAUCUCUUGCUGUUGCAGAACCCAUCAACAGGGGAUACUUGGCCCAACCUUAGCACCAAAAACCACCUGGGUGUACCCUACAAUGCAAAAGGGCCUAUAUUUAGAAUCACGGAAUUAGGGUUGGAAAAAACCACUAAGAUCAUCUAGUCCAACUAUCAACCCAUCCCACUAUGCCCACUAAUCAUGUCCCCAAGUGCCACAUCUCCAUGGCUCUUGAACGCCUCCUGGGACAGUGACUCCACCAUUUCAACCCUAAAUCCCGUGCUGUGUACUAAAGGCAGCCCUCUGUUUCCUGUUUGGACCUGCUGUGCCAUGUAGACCUCCUUCUGCUCUGAGCUCGUGUUGCAGCUUGGCCCCGCGCUCCCAUCUCAGGAGUUUCCUGAUGGAUCCCUCCCCAAAGCUUCAAACCAGAACUAGAGUUAAGAGGAGCCAACACUCCUUAUGGGGAGGUGCUGCAAGGCCAGAGGGACCCCAAGCAUCCCACUGCAUCUCCGAGGAUGCUCUGCCUUUCGCUGCUCAGUUAUUCCGCAGCCCAUCCAGACUCUACAAUGCCCUUUGGCAGAAGUUUAAUUAUGCAAAAUUGUUACGAAAAAGCAUUUCUUUUGCCUGGUUCACACGUCCUCCUUCCUGCCAGCCGCUCCCAGCCCUCAUCUUUGCUGCCUUCCUCUGCAUCUCCCCUUCUUUCUCGUUUCCUCUCUUUGCUUUCCAGUGGAGGGAACAGAUUUGUGAGCAGUAUUUAAGUAGCAGGUGAAUUAUUGAUCUGCUCAAUGACAAAUUGAUCUCUUCUGUUGUGUUUAACACUUUUAUUUUCCUCUAAAAAUUUCCACGCUCAAUUUACUUUUUAGGCCAUCACAGAUCGCUGAGGCGAUGUUUUCAUAACACGAUGGCUGUGCAAGGUCCAAGUUAUCUUUCCUGGGCAGUAACAGCUCAUUGAAGGCUCACGACUAUUUAAAGUACAAAUAGAUGGCUUCACCCGUGCUCAUCAUUUUGCACAUUUCCUGGAUUCCCUCUUAUUUUACUGUCCAGAGGUGUUCGGCUGCAGCUUUUCACCAUCAGCUCUGACUAUUGAGGUGUUUGGGGCCCUUUUCAGUAUUAUCCUCUUUUGCACAUUCAGGCUCUGAUCCCACACCUCGACCCUCCCCGGCCCUCCACAGCUCCUGCUGCUGAGAUGAUAGACAAAAAGGGUCAAUUAUGCGAUUUCUAUACCUUAGAAAGCUGCUAAUAAAAAAAGGGCUCCCCUUUAUCGUAGUUUUAAGUUUAAUUUGUCAUCUUGUGCUCUUUUUUAUUUUCCUCAUUUGGACGUGACUUCCACUUUCUGGAGGAUACUAUUUUACCUCUGACAAACUCCUUUAGUCUGUUCUUUAAUGAGAACAGCUAAUUUUUUGCCCUUUUAAAGUCUCUUUUGAUAAUUGUAUAGAUCUACUCUCAUCAUCUAAUAGAAGAUCUUUAAACAAUGUCUAUGUCCCCUGGAAGAAUUUUACCCUUUUGACAGCUGCUUUUUAAUUUCUUUUUAACAAGCCUCACCACUUUUAUGUGGAUUGCCUUUUUGAAAUGAAGUCGCAAUGAACUUUUCCAUUUUUUUCUUUCUUUCUUUUUUUUUUUUUUAAAGAAAAAAAGUCCUACAAUGCCACCGACUUUAAGUACAUGAUGGGCACUUUUAGAGAGGCUCUUCAAUCACAUUUUAAAUUAGCCCUGUGGCCUGCACAGGAUUGAAUCUACCAUUGCUUCUCCUGGCUGUCCCAAGAAGGAGCUAUUUUUAGUGUUGUCCGAACAUUUAACCAUUUUGCUCAGGGAGUAUUCCAAGUCCCUCAGCACGGAGCUGGUUUCCACCUUGUUCACACAGCUUUCCCCACUCACACCCCCAGGCAUCACCCAGCCAAUAUGCCAUGCUCAUCCAUCCAAUCCCAACGCUUUCAUCCCAACACCUUUCACCUUUGCAUCCUUAGCACUCUCCUCUGCAUACCUGGCCACCAUUGGGAUGCUCCGCAUAGGUCUCACCUCUGCAGGAUGCCCAUAAAGGUAUCCUGGUGGCGGCCCAGGUCUCACCUCUCCUCCAACUGCUUCUUCUGCAGGUCUGGGACCUCUUUGGUGGCAACCCAGAGUUUCCAUUAUUCAUCGAGUGUUAUUCCUGAUAAGAGAGACAGUGUUAAAAAGCAAUUAAAAUCCUCAGGUUGUGCAUUAAAAGAAAAAAAAAGAAGUAAUUUAAAACUCUAAACAUGCUUCUGACAUUUUCUAAAUUAAAAAUCAGACCCUUCCUCCACGUUUUUCAGUUCAUAAAAUUUAAUCAGUGUUACCAUUUUAAGGGAAUAUUUUGGACUAAGCAAGAUGCAAAUUUUUUGAAGGAUGGGAAGGAGCACUGUUUCAGGUUUCUGGUUAAACCUGUGACUUCCAUCCCGCUCCGUGCCCAGGAUCACCAUCUGCAGAUGGCACCACGGGCCCCGUGCCAGCAGGAGGGCUGCAGAAAUCCCUCGGUGCCAUCCCUGCUCUCCUAUUCUAGGCUGAACGCAGGAUUAUUUCCUGGUCUCAUCAUUUUCUCCGAGCUUUUUUAUCACUGCUAAAAGCUGUCAAGAGCAUUCGGCCACAGGGAGGAGGGAGAAAGGCAGACAAGGAGGACUGUGUUGCAGGAGAGGUGUGCUAAGGGGAGCGGAAUGGCUGCAAAACUUCUUCCCCUAUCAAUUGUGUGAUUUCUUACGCCACAGGCCCAUGGAAGAGCAAAUCUGUAGAAAGCCAUGCUAACUCAUUAAAAAGAAAAAAACAACAACAAAG